rnacentral:rRNA from 1 species
CAGUAGCCGCGGUAACACAGAGGGUGCGAGCGUUAAUCGGAUUUACUGGGCGUAAAGCGUGCGUAGGCGGCUUCUUAAGUCGGAUGUGAAAUCCCUGAGCUUAACUUAGGAAUUGCAUUCGAUACUGGGAAGCUAGAGUAUGGGAGAGGAUGGUAGAAUUCCAGGUGUAGCGGUGAAAUGCGUAGAGAUCUGGAGGAAUACCGAUGGCGAAGGCAGCCAUCUGGCCUAAUACUGACGCUGAGGUACGAAAGCAUGGGGAGCAAACAGGAUUAGAUACCCGGGUAGUCCCUGUCUCUUAUAC